AUUUGAGGGGGAAAAAUUAAUAAAAUAAAAUUAAUAAAAAAAUUUUUAAUAAAAAUAUUAUUGGGGUUAAAGUAUUUUUAAAGAAAAAAUUAAAAAAUUUAUAGUAAAAUAGUAUUGAAGAAGAAAUUUGAAAUAAUUGAAAAAUAAUUUAUUAAUAAGUAAUUUUAGUUUUAUGUAUCUUGUGUAUCAGAGUUUAUAAAAAAUAUAUUUAUAGUUAAAUUUUCUCGAAUUUUAAAGAGUUAAUUAAUUAAAAAAGUUAAUGUGGUAUAAUUAUUUUUAAUUAUUAAUUUGAAAUGAAAUGUUAAUCGUUUUAAAAUAUAUCUAGUUUUUUUAGAAAUAAAUUUAAUUUAAAAUAUUAAUUAAUCGAUUUUUAUAAUUUUAUAAAAAUUGAAAUAAAUAUUAAAUAUUUAAAGGGAUAAGCUUUUAAAUAAAAAAUUAUAAAUAAUUUAAUAAAAAAAUAAAAUUUUAAAAAAAUUUAAUUUUUUAUAAAAAAAAUAAUUUAAAAUAAAAAAAAAUAAGUUAUAAUGAUAAAAUUAGUAUAUAAAAUUAAAUAAAAAUUAUAAUUUUAAGAUAGUUUAUGAUAAGGAAUUCGGCAAAAUUUAUAUUCACUUGUUUAUCAAAAACAUGUCUUUUUGAGAUAAUAUAAAGUCUAAUCUGCCCACUGAUAAAUUAUUAAAGGGCUGCAGUAUUUUGACUGUACAAAGGUAGCAUAAUCAUUUGUCUUUUAAUUGAAGACUAGUAUGAAAGAUUGGAUGAAAUAUGAACUGUCUCAUUAUAAAAUUAUAAAACUUAAUUUUUUAGUUAAAAAGCUAAAAUAAAUUUAAAAGACGAGAAGACCCUAUAGAGUUUUAUAAUUUUUUUAAUAUUAUUAUAAUAUAAAUUUUUAAAAUAAAAUUAAUUUAAUUAUUUUGUUGGGGUGAUAAAAAAAUUUAAUUAACUUUUUUUUAAAAAUUAACAUUAAUAUAUGAAAAAAUGAUCCAUUAAUAAUGAUUAAAAGAAAAAAUUACCUUAGGGAUAACAGCGUAAUUUUUUUUUUUAGGUCAAAUAAAAAAAAAAGUUUGCGACCUCGAUGUUGGAUUAAGAUAAAAUUUAAAUGCAAAAGUUUAAAAUUUUUGAUCUGUUCGAUCAUUAAAAUCUUACAUGAUCUGAGUUCAAACCGGUGUAAGCCAGGUUGGUUUCUAUCUUUAAUAAAAAUAAAUAUUUUAGUACGAAAGGAUUGAAUAUUUAAAAUAAUUUUUAUUUAG
rnacentral:rRNA from 1 species